rnacentral:rRNA from 1 species
AUAUGUGGCCAUAUCAUUCUGAAUGUGCCUGAUCUCUUCUGAUGUCAGAAACUGAGUAGCUCUGGGCUGGCUUAGCAUUGGGGGGGGGGAGGAACUUUCAUAGA